rnacentral:rRNA from 1 species
AGAGUUUGAUCCUGGCUCAGGAUGAACGCUAGCUACAGGCUUAACACAUGCAAGUCGAGGGGCAGCAUGGUCUUAGCUUGUUAAGACUGAUGGCGACCGGCGCACGGGUGAGUAACACGUAUCCAACCUGCCUUAUACUCCCGGACAGCCUUCUGAAAGGAAGAUUAAUACGGGAUGGUAUCACGGGCCAGCAUUUUCUCGUGAUUAAAGAACUUCGGUAUAAGAUGGGGAUGCGUUCCAUUAGAUAGUAGGCGGGGUAACGGCCCACCUAGUCUACGAUGGAUAGGGGUUCUGAGAGGAAGGUCCCCCACAUUGGAACUGAGACACGGACCAGACUCCUACGGGAGGCAGCAGUGAGGAAUAUUGGUCAAUGGCCGAGAGGCUGAACCAGCCAAGUCGCGUGAGGGAAGACGGCCCUACGGGUUGUAAACCUCUUUUGUCGGGGAGCAAAGAGAGCCACGUGUGGCUCAUUGAGAGUACCCGAAGAAAAAGCAUCGGCUAACUCCGUGCCAGCAGCCGCGGUAAUACGGAGGAUGCGAGCGUUAUCCGGAUUUAUUGGGUUUAAAGGGUGCGCAGGCGGAGGUGCAAGUCAGCGGUCAAAUUGCGGGGCUCAACCCCGUACUGCCGUUGAAACUGCAUCCCUUGAGUGCGCGAGAAGUAUGCGGAAUGCGUGGUGUAGCGGUGAAAUGCAUAGAUAUCACGCAGAACUCCGAUUGCGAAGGCAGCAUACCGGCGCGCAACUGACGCUCAUGCACGAAAGCGUGGGUAUCGAACAGGAUUAGAUACCCUGGUAGUCCACGCAGUAAACGAUGAACACUAACUGUUCGGCCAAAGUGAUGGCUGAGUGGUACAGCGAAAGCGUUAAGUGUUCCACCUGGGGAGUACGCCGGCAACGGUGAAACUCAAAGGAAUUGACGGGGGCCCGCACAAGCGGAGGAACAUGUGGUUUAAUUCGAUGAUACGCGAGGAACCUUACCCGGGCUCAAACGACACAGGCAUACUUUUGAAAGGAGGUAGCCCUUCGGGGUCUGUGUCGAGGUGCUGCAUGGUUGUCGUCAGCUCGUGCCGUGAGGUGUCGGCUUAAGUGCCAUAACGAGCGCAACCCCUAUCGCCAGUUGCCAUCAAGUAAAGUUGGGGACUCUGGCGAGACUGCCGGCGCAAGCUGUGAGGAAGGCGGGGAUGACGUCAAAUCAGCACGGCCCUUACGUCCGGGGCGACACACGUGUUACAAUGGCAGGUACAGAGAGAAGCCAGGUGGCGACACCGCGCGGAACUCGAAAGCCUGUCUCAGUUCGGAUCGGAGUCUGCAACCCGACUCCGUGAAGCUGGAUUCGCUAGUAAUCGCGCAUCAGCCAUGGCGCGGUGAAUACGUUCCCGGGCCUUGCACACACCGCCCGUCAAG